ACCAAUCAUUGUUUGCACAAUAAACGAAAAAACAUACAUUAUUAUUAUUAUAUGUUUGUUCCUUAUCCUAUCUUCUCUAGUCACUCCACUUUUCCAUUUAAUCAUUCUCAUCUUUGCUACAUUCAUUUUCUGCUUUAUUCUCUUAUCAAUCGCCCAACACGCUGAACUAUACAUCAUAACUAGUCUCACUAUAAUCAUCUGGUCCUACUGCUAUAUUGAAUCACAUCCUUCUAUACCUCUUUCUCACUAAUUAAAUCUACCAGUCCCUCGUUCCUCAAAAUAUCCUCUGUCUCUCUUAGAUACUCCUAAUUUAGUAAUUUUUCAAAAUACUCUUUACCUUUUUUCAUAUAAUCAUUGCUCGUUAGCACACUCUUAUCAUCACUUUUUAUAAACUUAACAUUGUGAUAAUCUUUAGAGAGUAUUUUUUUUGCAAAUCUACAGACUUGCAAAAGUAAUAACUAAUAUUAAUGGUAAUUAUAGCCGUUAGUUUUAGAAGAAUUAUAUAAUAAUAAUAAAUUAUAAUAUUAGCAUCGGAAGAAGAUAAAAACUAUCGUGUCAUGCGAUUGCACCUAAAGUUGUGAUCUUUAGUCCAAUACUGAGCGGUUAAUUAUAUUAAUAGUGGGUAACUUCAAAUAUUUUGAAUUGAAUUGUCCAAAUUACGCAAAUAGAAACGCCACCGGAAACAUCCUUAGAAUCAUCGAUUGCAUUUCCCUGGUGUAUAUUCAUCUGGAACGUUUCUCAGAAGAGACUUGUCGUUAAAGUAAUACUCGUGGGAUUGGUCCAUAAACAAUAUUAUCGAUCCUAGUGACUGAAAAAUAAUCGAUUGACAGCUUAAAUUUGCUAAUCGUUGAUGUUAAACGUUUAAGAUUUGUCAAAUUCUUUUCAACAGUUCUGCCGAACACAUGUCGUAAUAUGUACAAUAUAAAACAAGCAUAUUUUUAUGGUGAUAGUGGUGAUGGUGGUCGUGGUCGAAGUGGAGGCCGUGGUCGAGGUACCAAUAAAAUAGAGAUGUCCUCUUCACGUAGGUGUUAUUUGUGUCGUACAAAGGGCCACAUAAUUAGCCAAUGUCCCCAUAAAGA